GAUGAAGAACGUAGCGAAAUGCGAUAAGUAAUGUGAAUUGCAGAAUUCAGUGAAUCAUCGAAUCUUUGAACGCACAUUGCGCCCGCCAGCACUCUGGCGGGCAUGCCUGUUCGAGCGUCAUUUCAACCAUCAAGCCCCCAGGGGCUUGUGCUGGGGCCCUGCGGCUGCCCGCAGGCCCUGAAAACCAGUGGCGGGCUCGCUAGUCACACCGAGCGCAGUAGCACAUCUCGCUCAGGGCGUGCGGCGGGCUCCUGCCGUGAAACCCCCCACUGUAACCCCAAAGGUUGACCUCGGAUCAGGUAGGAAUACCCGCUGAACUUAAGCAUAUCAAUAAGCGGA
rnacentral:misc_RNA from 1 species